rnacentral:rRNA from 1 species
CGUUCCCUCUGGCGGUAGGCCUAACACAUGCAAGUCGAACGGCAGCACAGUAAGAGCUUGCUCUUACGGGUGGCGAGUGGCGUACGGGUGAGGAAUACAUCGGAAUCUACUUUUUCGUGGGGGAUAACGUAGGGAAACUAACGCUAAUACCGCAUUCGACCUACGGGUGAAAGCAGGGAAUCUUCGGACCUUUCGCGAUGGACUGGCCCGAUGUCGGAUUAUCUAUUGGGGGGGGUAAAGGCCCACCAAGGCGACGAUCCGUAGCUGGUCGGAGAGGAUGAUCAGCCACACUGGAACUGAGACACGGUCCUGACGCCUACGAGAGGCAGCAGUCGGGAAUAUUGGACAAUGGGCGCAAGCCUGAUCCAGCCAUACCGCGUGGGUUAAGAAGGCCUUCGGGUUGUAAAGCCGUUUUGUUGGGAAAGAAAAGCAGCAGGUUAAUACCCCGCUGUUCUGACGGUACCCAAAGAAUAAGCACCGGCUAACUUCGUG